GGGUCACUCUGCUCAGCUCUCAGGGCUCUGCUCUUUCAACACCAGCCUCAUUAGAACUAAAUACAAUGAGUCAAGCAACUUUAAUUACCAAAACAACACAGAGAACAAUACAACCUUUUGACCAACCCAACUGCUGUCCUAAAAGUCUAUAAAAGUGAAUCCACUACAGGGGUUUUCCUCUUAGGAAGAAAGACAGGAUGCAGUCUGUGCUCUAGGCGCCCCAGAUGCUCCCUGUGACGUGCCUGACUGUGUCAGCUCCUGCUGGGGCCCAGGGAGGGAGAAACAGCCCUGGUGGGGAGAGAUUCAUGGAGCUCAGACCUGGCCUGCGAUGGGAUCAAUGUGUCUGCAGCCCAGAGCAAGAAGAAAGUGGAAACCAAUACAGAGAGUGGCACAAGAUGGAGUACCAAGCAGAGACACUGGCCAAUGAGUGCUCCCCACUAAAGUGCCCUGCAGCCUUUCAUUCCCUCGCUGAUACAGAUGGCUAAAGAGAAACUGGGAGGCAAAGCAGGAACCAUAGAGUGGGACUGUGUGUGACACUACAGGAGCCUAGAAGGUGUAGGGACCGUCAUCAGAGCCCUGGUGGGCGGACAAGUGGAGCCUGCUGUCAUCAAGACUACACUUGGUGUUUUAACAGUAGCUUACAUAGGAUGGAGACAUAAUUUAGUUGAUGUAAACCCAGACAGUAAUGUGUCAGUAUGUAUAUGCUUUGUGCUCGCUGGUGGUGCAUGAGAUGUAAUGCAGGACAUUUUUCUAGAAGUGAUUUACGGAAUCAGAAGAAAACAACACAUUGUCAUUUUGGAGUUUAUUCUCACUAAGUCACAAGGGGGCAGUAUAGUAUUGCUAAAGAGACGACUAUGGCUUUAUUUGACGUCUACAUUUUAUCUGGGACACUGCAAAGUUUUGAUGUUGUGGCAUUAAA